rnacentral:rRNA from 1 species
UACGAGGGGGGCGAGCGUUGUUCGGAAUUAUUGGGCGUAAAGGGUGCGUAGGCGGUUUGGUAAGUCUCUUGUGAAAUCUCUGGGCUCAACUCAGAGUCUGCAAGGGAAACUGCCGGGCUUGAGUAUGGGAGAGGUGAGUGGAAUUCCUGGUGUAGCGGUGAAAUGCGUAGAUAUCAGGAGGAACACCUGUGGCGAAAGCGGCUCACUGGACCAUAACUGACGCUGAGGCGCGAAAGCUAGGGGAGCAAACAGG